rnacentral:rRNA from 1 species
AACGAACGCUGGCGGCAGGCUUAACACAUGCAAGUCGAACGCACCGCAAGGUGAGUGGCAGACGGGUGAGUAACGCGUGGGAACCUUCCCUUUGGUACGGAAUAACUUCGGGAAACCGAAGCUAAUACCGUAUAAGUCCUUCGGGAGAAAGAUUUAUCGCCAAAGGAUGGGCCCGCGUUGGAUUAGCUAGUUGGUAGGGUAAAGGCCUACCAAGGCUACGAUCCAUAGCUGGUCUGAGAGGAUGAUCAGCCACACUGGGACUGAGACACGGCCCAGACUCCUACGGGAGGCAGCAGUGGGGAAUAUUGGACAAUGGGGGCAACCCUGAUCCAGCCAUGCCGCGUGAGUGAAGAAGGCCUUAGGGUUGUAAAGCUCUUUUGGCGGGGACGAUAAUGACGGUACCCGCAGAAUAAGCCCCGGCUAACUUCGUGCCAGCCGCCGCCGUAAAAC